rnacentral:rRNA from 1 species
UACCCUCGGGUGGGGGAUAACCUCGGGAAACUGAGGCUAAUACCCCAUAGGCCUCGGAUACUGGAAGGUUCCGAGACCGAAAGCUCCGGCGCCCGAGGAUGGGUCUGCGGCCUAUCAGGUAGUUGGUGGUGUAAAGGACCACCAAGCCUACGACGGGUACGGGCCCUGAGAGGGGGAGCCCGGAGAUGGGCUCUGAGACACGAGUCCAGGCCCUACGGGGCGCAGCAGGCGCGAAACCUUCGCAAUGCGCGAAAGCGCGACGAGGGGAGCCCGAGUGCCCUUCCUUUCGGGAGGGCUUUUCUGGAGCCUAAAAAGCUCCAGGAAUAAGGGCUGGGCAAGACGGGUGCCAGCCGCCGCGGUAAUACCCGCAGCUCGAGUGGUGGCCACUAUUAUUGAGCCUAAAGCGUCCGUAGCCGGACCCGUAAAUCCCUGGGUAAAUCCUGGCGCUCAACGUCAGGAAUUCCGGGGAGACUGCGGGUCUUGGGACCGGGAGAGGCCGGAGGUACUCCCGGGGUAGGGGUAAAAUCCUGUAAUCCCGGGGGGACCACCUGUGGCGAAAGCGUCCGGCUUGAACGGCUCCGACGGUGAGGGACGAGGGCCA